AAACGUGGUGUACAAUCUGAUGCAUUGCAUCUUUGUUGGGAGUUCCUGGGAGGCAGCAGCCAUGCAUAAGCUGAAUAUCUCUUCUUUCCCACAGGACUGCAAAAUACAUUCUGUAUUGGGAUAAAUGCGAGAAAGGAGGAAGUGUGAAAGUUGUCCAUGUCAGUGCAUGCUUUGGCUUUCCUUGGGGAUCCUUGGAAUCACCAAGGAGCACACCUCUCAGACCUCAGUGUUGUAGCUGUUCUCUGGAGAACACGAUAGUGCCUGCUGUGGUACUGCCUUCAUUCCCUCCACUCUUCUGAGCUUCCUUUGGCAUUUGCCAUACUUUGCUGGAGAAAAUGAGAUAAUUCCUGUUUUGCUGGAAGGCCUUACAGUGUCAUGGAAUUUUGGGAGAAUAUUGCUACUCUGGUGACUGCUGUUUGGAGACACGAGUUUCUUGGCUGACAGUGAAGUUGCUGCUGUGGAUUUGUUUCGCCUGUAUUCUGGAAUUGAAAUUUGUCUCUAACAAAAGGGUAGAGGGAAGAAGAAACACUGGGACCUGCACUACUGCAAGCUCUUUGACAGAGUGGAUUUAGAUGCAAAGUAGGUGUGCCAUGGCGUGGACCAGAGUAUACAGAAAUGAGUGUGGCACUGAUGAGCAGAGACAGCCCCUGCAGCAACAAAACUCCUCUCCAAGACUCCUCAGAUGAGAUGUAAGGAAGAAUCAGCAGGCUGAGAGAUCAUCCCUGCAAUGCAUGUCUCCGUGGGAAGGGUGUCAGAGAGUACUUCUGCCAUGUGAGUGUGAGACUACCCCGAGACUACCCCACCUGCAUACACCAAAACCAGUAUACACUUUGGAAAAAACUGAACUUUGCAUCAGAUUGACUUGAAUUUGAUGAUUUAAUGAGAACAACUCAUAGACACCGCCUGUUCUUUCUAUCUUCUGUAUCACAUAAAGGUUUGCAGAUGGUUUAUGAGAUGUUAUGGUCUGUGCUCUGACAGCUGCAAGAUGUUCAGGUUGUUUAUAGAGACUAGAAGAGAACAAAUUCAGCCUUGGCCCCUUCCCCACCUACAUGUGAAGCUAUAUGUGGAACAAAGUGUCUAAUGUUUGCACUGAGCUUCACUUCCACUUGCAGAGCUGAAGACAUGAGGAAACAAGAGCAGAAGACUGCAGGACCUGAAUACAAUCGCAGACGUUAGCUUGAGGCUUCUUUCAACACCCUGCUCUGCAAUACAGCUUUAAUCUUUUCACUGUUAUUCUGAUCAAUACUUCUUUCUGAUACAAUCUUACUGGGGAGAAAAGGUGCUUCCUGAGGGGACCUACAGCUGUGCAUCCAAAACAGACACACUAGAGUGUCUGUAACUUCAACAUGACAGGGAAAAACUUUGCUCUGCCAACACCAGCCCUUCUCAGGCUUGUCAUCACUUGGCAAUUUUUGGUGUUCAGACAUGCUGCUGACAGAAAUUGUGUGAGUUGCUUAAACAGGAGAAUCUGUGUUCUGGAUAAUGCCAGUGAAUCAUCACCAAACUUCUGGGAAAAAAGGGUUUUUAUCAAGGUUAGCCAACAGAGCUGCAAAGUCACCUACCACAGAGAAAAAUGUUACAUUUAAAGCAGCAGAGGGGAAAAGUCUUGGCUAAGUAAGGGAAAGGCUUAAGAAUUGACACUACUCUCUGAGAGAAGGGAUAACUAUCAUGUGCACUUUUAUUUGCUGUGAAAUAAAUUAGACACACCAAGCAGUAGCAUUUACAGAGAAUUCUGCCUGGUCCUGCAACAGCUAUGAAACCCAAGACUACCGGAAAAGCAAAAUCUGCUCAGUGUGUGUUGAAGGGACUGCUCCAAGCUGCUGUCUCUGAUGGGUCAGCCUUCCCCUGCCACAAGCUGUGCCAAAAGCUGACACUGCACUGUGAAGGUUGGUGUGGCUGAGGAGCUUCAUCUACAGCUGGAAAUACGACCUAGCUGACUGAAGUAACAGCAGGGACAUCCGAAGGCUCGUGUUUCAUCCUCCCAGAAGAGGUGCUUUGGUGAUCAGGAGCCUGCCAACAGGCUGUCUUGCUCUGAAGGGGGUUCCUCACCACACAAUGGGACAUGUGACUAGGCAGAAAGCCUGGGGAGAAAUCUCACUCUUGGAUUAAAGGGAAAAGCGAUUUUCACAGGUUCCAGGAAUUAAUGGUGAAUGGUAAGAUCAGCUAGGUUGAUUUUUGUGAGCAUUAUGUUAAGGACAUCUGAGAGUAGCAAAAUGUGAUUGAAGACACAUCAAAAGAGUGGAUUGCUCAGGAUUUUCUAAGGGACACAGCUUCUCUUGGGACUCUGACAACAAAAUAAAUAUGAAUUGCAACAGACCAGGACCCCAUCUGACUCCAGAACAACUGAAAGGAAUCUUGAACCACGGAGGUCAGAGAUACAUUUCAGGGCGCUCUAUGGCUGAAGUGAUGAAAAAUUGUUACACUUAAGAGACUGCAGAGCACAACACCACUGCCCAAGCAAGGAAUCAUGCUGCAGAGAUCAGGAAUGGCAUAACAGGCAACGAGCUAAGGUCUAAAGCUUUGCCUUUGUGGGUUCUUAACUCAAAACAAGUGCAAGUCCUGGAUUCUGGGAAAAGAAUGGGUGGGAAGAAAGAGGAGAGGAAGAGGAGGAUUUAAAAUCUAACCCAAGGAAAUCCUAUGUUCUUGUUGUAAGUUAAAAGCAUAAAAAUAUACAGUCACUAUAGGCACAAA